rnacentral:rRNA from 1 species
CCUGGUUGAUCCUGCCAGUAGUCAUAUGCUUGUCUCAAAGAUUAAGCCAUGCAUGUAUAAGUAUGAACUAAUUCAGACUGUGAAACUGUGGAUGGCUCAUUAAAUUAGUUAUAUUUUUUUUUAUGGUAUCAUACUACUCAAAUAACCAUAGUAAUUCUAGAGCUAAUAUGUGCACAAAGUCCCGACUCUUUGGAAUGGGUGAAUUUUUUAAAUAAGAGGCCGUUGCGGGCUUGCUCGCUUCUCCGGUGAAUCAUGAUAACUCGAUGGAUCGCACAGUCCUUGUGUUGGCGAUGGUUCAUUCAAAUUUUUGCCCUAUCAACUUUCGAUGGCAGGAUAGAGGCCUACCAUGGUGGUGACGGGUGACGAAGAAUUAGUGUUCAAUUCUGUAGAGGGAGCCUGAGAAACGACUACCACAUCCAAGGAAGGCAGCAAGUGCGCAAAUUAUCCAAUCCUGACAUGGGGAGGUAGUGAUAAUAAGUAACAAUACUGGGCUCAUCGAGUCUGGUAGCUGGAAUGAGUAAAAUCUAAAUCCCAUAAUGAGGAUCCAUUGGAGGGCAAGACUAGUGCUAGUAGUUACGGUAAUUCCAACUCCAAUAGCAUAUAUUUAAGUUGUUGUAGUUAAAAAUCUCAUAGUUGGAUCUUGGGUCGUAAAGGUCGUUCGGCUUACUCGAUGUGCACCUAUCGUUCUAUCCCUUUUGUCAAUGGCAUGCUCCUAGCCUUAAUUGGAUGGGUCAUGGCUCUGGUGCUGUUACUUUGAAAAAGUUAGAGUGCUCAAAGCAAGCUUAUGCUUUGAAUACAUUAGCAUGGAAUAACGUGAUAGGAGUCUGGUCCUAUUGUGCUGGCCAUCGGGACCAGAGUAAUGAUUAAUAGGGACUUUCGAGGGCAUUCGUAUUUCAUUGUCAGAGGUGAAAUUAUUGGAUUUAUGAAAGACGAACCACUGUGGAAGCAUUUUCCAAGGAUGUUUUCAUUAAUAAAGAAUGCAAGUUAGGGGCUCAAAGAUGAUCAGAUCCCGUCCUAGUCUCAACCAUAAACGAUACCGACUAGGGAUGGGUGGAUGUUUCUCUAAGGACUCCGCUAGCACCUUCUGAGAAAUCAGAGUGUUUGGGUUCUUUGGGGAGUAUGGUCGCAAGGCUAAAACUUAAAGGAAUUGACGGAAGGGCACCACCAGGAGUGCAGCCUGUGGCUUAAUUUGACUCAACACGGGGAAACUUAAUAGGUCCAGACAUAGUAAGGAUUGACAGAUUGAGAGCUCUUUCUUGAUUCUAUGGGUGGUGGUGCAUGGUCGUUCUUAGCUUUAUUUGUCUGGUUAAUUCCAAUAACGAAUGAGACCUCAACCUGCUAACUAGAUAUGCGGAGCUUCCCCUUCACGGCCAGCUUCUUAGAGGGACUAUGGCCAUUUAGGCCAUGGAAGUUUAAGGCAAUAACAGGUUUGUGAUGCCCUUAGAUGUUCUGGGCCGCACACGUACUAUGCUGAUGCAGCCAAUGAGUUUUUCUUCCUGGUUCAAGAGGAUCAGGAAAUCUUCUCAGAUUGCAUCGUGAUGGGGAUAAACCAUUGCAAUUAUUAGUCUUCAAUAAGGAAUUCCUUGUAAGUGCGUGUCAUCAACUCGUGUUGACUACGUCCCUGCCCUUUGUACACACCACCUGUCGCUUCUACUGAUUGAAUGAUCCAGUGAAAUGUUCAGAUUGCGUCGACGAUGGUGGUCCACCACCAUUGACAUCGUGAGAAGUUCAUUGAACCUUAUCAUUUAGAGGAAAGAGAAGUCGUAAAAAGGUUACUGUAGGUGAACCUGUGGUAG